rnacentral:rRNA from 1 species
AUUGAACGCUGGCGGCAUGCUUUACACAUGCAAGUCGAACGGUAGCAGGCCUUCGGGUGCUGACGAGUGGCGAACGGGUGAGUAAUGCAUCGGAACGUGCCCAGAGGUGGGGGAUAACGCAGCGAAAGCUGUGCUAAUACCGCAUGUGAUCUGAGGAUGAAAGCGGGGGACCAAGCAGCAAUGUUUGGCCUCGCGCCUCUGGAGCGGCCGAUGUCAGAUUAGGUAGUUGGUGGGGUAAAGGCCUACCAAGCCGACGAUCUGUAGCUGGUCUGAGAGGACGACCAGCCACACUGGGACUGAGACACGGCCCAGACUCCUACGGGGGGCAGCAGUGGGGAAUUUUGGACAAUGGGCGCAAGCCUGAUCCAGCAAUGCCGCGUGCGGGAAGAAGGCCUUCGGGUUGUAAACCGCUUUUGUACGGAACGAAAAGGCUCUGGCUAAUACCUGGGGCUGAUGACGGUACCGUAAGAAUAAGCACCGGCUAACUACGUG